rnacentral:misc_RNA from 1 species
AACGCACCUUGCGCCCUUUGGUAUUCCGAAGGGCAUGCCUGUUUGAGUGUCAUUAAAUUCUCAACUUCAACACUUUUUUUGUAUUGAAGCUUGGAUGUUGGAGGGUUUGCAGGCAUAUUAAUGUCAGCUCCUCUUAAAUGCAUUAGCAGAACUUGUACGUUCGGCUCUGGUUUGAUAAUCCUAUCUAUGCCAUUGCUGAAAUGUCAAUUGUUCAGCUUCUAAUGGUCCUUGGACUGUCUCUUCGGAGGCAUACUUCUGACUUGACCUCAAAUCAGGUAGGACUACCCGCUGAACUUAA